rnacentral:lncRNA from 1 species
ACACAGUAUGCUACAGCAAGGUUUUUGCAGUGCCAGACCCCACGAAUGCAUGCAGGGGUCCAGAAGUGACAAAGCUACACACUAGGAAUGACUACACAGAGGUUCCAACAGGCUUCCAGAGCAUAGUCAGACCCCACAUCAGAAGCCUACUGAGCUUCCAUGUGCCUCAACCACCCUAUCAGCCCCCAUGCACAUCCAAGCCCCCUCCCCGCCCUUCUGGGAGCUGCUGGACCAGGAGCUGGGCAUGGAGUGGCUGCAGCUGGGCCUCGUCAGCCAGGCGGAUCCUUUGCUAUCACGUGGGACUCACAGUGGUGGUGUCCUGGUGUUUCCCAGCAGUGUGGAGUCUGCAGUAUGGUGGUGACUGCUGUCACCACAGACUUUCAUUUUGUACCCCUGAAAUGGAAGUGAAGUCUAGGAAGUAGCUGAAGAGGUGAUGAAGACUCAAUGAUGAUGUCAACUUUGCUGAAUUCUCUGAUCCCAGCACCAAGAAAAAUGGAAAAAUGUUUAAGGGACAGCCAUCAUAAAGGUAAUUAGCUUCUCCUGCUUACCUAAAAAGUCAUCGUUUGAUAGGCUGGCAUAUUUUUUUCAGAUAACAGGGUUAUAAAUGUAGUGCUUGAUCUAUAAUUGCUGGAGCUAUAUGUUUGCUUUUGUGACAGUAAAACCAAGAACCUGUUUUCUCAUGAAUGUUAGGAGUUUCAUCGGCUUAGAAUCCUAACGUGGUUAUUUCAGAUUUUAAAAUAUUUUUUCCUUUUUAACACUUUGCUUUGUAAAGAUCCUGAAUUCUUUCUUACAAUGUUAAUGAUUUCACACUUUUUAUCAUGUUAAGUGUGAAAGGUUAAGCAUCCAGACUGUAGAAAGAGCUAAAUUACUCUUGUACUAAUCACUGUCUGCUGGAGGAAAUUACUGUAUUAUGUAUUACUGUUGAGAUACUGGUGAAUCAAUAUUCAUGUAGAAGCCUGAACUCUUACAAUUUCUACAGUUUAUAACUGUUGUAUUUAAUUAGACUCUUUUCAAGGGUAAAAGAAAUGAUUAAUUGUAUUUUGUAUCUUAAAAAGUCUUUGUACACCUGGCUGGCAUGCUUUUCAUUCUCCAGAUUGUGAUGCUUAGAUAAAAUAUAUAUUCCUUAGAAUGACAGAAAUAACGCUGCCCUGUAAUUAGUACAGCACUAAUUAAUUAUCAAGUGUAUGUACUUGAACAGUUAAAUUUUUCAUUGUUGAAUUGUACCUCCAAGUUCAUCUAUGUUCUUUGAGUAGACAAAUUUUGCAAGAAAAGGCAUCUUUCCAUAACUAUUGCAAGUAAAGUAGGAAAUAUAAGUUAGAUAUUUGUCAGGUUUCACACCAAGGUCCCUGAGUACUUCUUGUUCUUGUGGAAUGAAAACAUCCCCUGCUAGUCUGGCUCUACAGCAUACAGUGUCCUUUGAUCCCAAAGGCCCAAGUCCAGAAAGCAAAAGAUAAAUAGAC